AAUUAGCAAAUGCAAAGACGGAGCGCUGACGCAAUUGUUUUCUUUAUUUUUUAUGUACAUAAAAAAGGAAGAAAACAAUUGCGUCAGUGCUCCGUCUUUGUAUUUGUUUC
rnacentral:pre_miRNA from 1 species